rnacentral:misc_RNA from 1 species
GUAGGUGAACCUGCGGAGGGAUCAUUACCAGAGAUGGCGGGCCCCCGCGCCCCCGUCCUUAACCCUUUGUUGACCCAAAACCAUUUUGCCUCGGGGGCAGAGCGUCCGCCGCCGCUCCCGGAGGACCACCAAACGCUGUCUCUAUACGUCGGAGUAUUGAUUAAAUAAAUAAAAACUUUCAACAACGGAUCUCUUGGUUCUG